GCUGCGACCAAGAUGGCCGGGAGACUCGCCACCUUCCUCAAGGAUGCCUGGGCCAAGGAGCCGGUGCUGGUUGCGUCCUUCACCAUCGGGGGCCUCGCUCUAAUUCUGCCCACCCUCAGCCCCUUCACCAAAUACGCCACCAUGAUCAACCAGGCCACGCCCUACAACUAUCCAGUGCCCCUCCGAGAUGAUGGGAACAUGCCCGACGUGCCCAGCCACCCCCAGGACCCCCAGGGCCCAAGCUUGGAGUGGCUGAAGAACUUGUGAGCACCCCCGGUGACAUGGAGGAGGCCCCUCCCCUGAGCCAAUAAAAUGCGAAGAGUGACCCCAGAAAAAAAAAA